UCGAUGCAACGCGAAGAACCUUACCUGGGCUUGACAUGGACCGGAUCGGCGUAGAGAUACGUUUUCCCUUGUGGUCGGUUCACAGGUGGUGCAUGGUUGUCGUCAGCUCGUGUCGUGAGAUGUUGGGUUAAGUCCCGCAACGAGCGCAACCCUUGUCUUAUGUUGCCAGCACAUUGUGGUGGGUACUCAUGAGAGACUGCCGGGGUUAACUCGGAGGAAGGUGGGGAUGACGUCAAAUCAUCAUGCCCCUUAUGUCCAGGGCUUCACACAUGCUACAAUGGUCGGUACAGCGAGUUGCCACACCGUGAGGUGGAGCUAAUCUCUUAAAGCCGGCCUCAGUUCGGAUUGGGGUCUGCAACUCGACCCCAUGAAGUCGGAGUCGCUAGUAAUCGCAGAUCAGCAACGCUGCGGUGAAUACGUUCCCGGGCCUUGUACACACCGCCCGUCACGUCAUGAAAGUUGGUAACACCCGAAGCCAGUGGCCCAACCUUUUAGGGGGG
rnacentral:rRNA from 1 species